UACGUAGGGUGCAGGCGUUAAUCGGAAUUACUGGGCGUAAAGCGUGCGCAGGCGGUUAUAUAAGACAGUUGUGAAAUCCCCGGGCUCAACCUGGGAACUGCAUCUGUGACUGUAUAGCUAGAGUACGGUAGAGGGGGAUGGAAUUCCGCGUGUAGCAGUGAAAUGCGUAGAUAUGCGGAGGAACACCGAUGGCGAAGGCAAUCCCCUGGACCUGUACUGACGCUCAUGCACGAAAGCGUGGGGAGCAAACAGG
rnacentral:rRNA from 1 species